rnacentral:rRNA from 1 species
CACGAAGGGGGCUAGCGUUGCUCGGAAUCACUGGGCGUAAAGCGCACGUAGGCGGCUUUCUAAGUCAGGGGUGAAAUCCUGGAGCUCAACUCCAGAACUGCCUUUGAUACUGGAGAGCUUGAGUCCGGGAGAGGUGAGUGGAACUCCGAGUGUAGAGGUGAAAUUCGUAGAUAUUCGCAAGAACACCAGUGGCGAAGGCGGCUCACUGGUCCGGUUCUGACGCUGAGGCGCGAAAGCGUGGGGAGCAAACAGG